CCGGCGCGGCAAGCGCCAAGGAAAACAAAAAUAGAAUCGUUGCCCCUUUGGCUCCCGUCCGCGGUGUGGCCAUGGGGAUGCAGCGUAUCUUGAAAGUCUAAACGACUCUCGGCAACGGAUAUCUCGGCUCUCGCAUCGAUGAAGAACGUAGCGAAAUGCGAUACUUGGUGUGAAUUGCAGAAUCCCGUGAACCAUCGAGUCUUUGAACGCAAGUUGCGCCCGACGCCUUCGGGCUGAGGGCACGCCUGCCUGGGCGUCACGCAUCGCGUCGUCCCCUCCCAUUCCCUCACGGGUUUGGUUAUGGGACGGAUAAUGGCUUCCCGUUAGCUCGGUUAGCCCAAAAAGGAUCCCUCAUCGACGGAUGUCACAACCAGUGGUGGUUGAAAGAUCAUUGGUGCUGUUGUGCUUCACCCUGUCGCUUGCUAGGGCAUCGUCAUAAACUAACGGCGUGUAAUGCGCCUUCGACCGCGACCCCAGGUCAGACGGGACUACCCGCUGAG
rnacentral:rRNA from 1 species